rnacentral:tRNA from 1 species
AUCUUGUUACCUUAUAAUUAAAGUCUGGAACUCUUAAUUCCAAAAAGGAGUAAUUAAAACUCCACAAGACA